UUUGAGAGAGAUAAGAGAGCAGGCAAAAAAGUGAUACACACAGACGAACCCACGUGCAAACGACGAAAUGCUCUUGUCUUCGCUUUCACUGCUCGUAGAGUCGUAGUGGUGUCGAGAGCAUCAUCGUCCGUUUCUCGGUCGGGAUGCGCUUUCAAUUAUGGUUAUGGGCUAAUGUCCAACCCCUUGAUUCUAGGCAAAUCACUACCAAAGCCUCCAUCAGCAUCGCCCAACUGACUCACAAGUGUUUGUGGGCUCUAUGUAAGAUUUUCUCCACAAUUUCGUCGAGACCUCGUUCGCUUGAACCCCGAAUGUCCGUGACAAAGUCGAGAUUGCGAGGGUCUCAAUAGAGCUCGUGAUAUCUUUAUAGCCGCCUGUAAAAAUUAGAUAUCUUUAGCAGUCUCGCUCUGUCUUGUCUGUCUUCGUGUGAGUGUGUGUGUGUGUGUGUAUGUGUUUCAGAACGAAUCUCUCGUCUGUCUUUCUCAUCCUCGUCAUUCCAACUCCCAAAAGUCCGACACGACCCUUGUCCAAUGAUAAAGAAGUUAGAAAUAAUGAAGAAGAACGGUCUUAAAAACUUCAAGAUCAGUCCAAACCGAUAACAUUCAGGUUGCCAAGUUGCUUGUAAAGGCGCUCUGGUUCUAGCCAAGAUGGAAUGAAUCCUCCACAAGAAGUAUACGACUGCUUCAAUGGUUGUCCCCAAGAGGAGCAACGAAUCCGAUGUUGGACAUUAAAGCGAGGGGAAGUCUCCAAUUGUCUCUCCAUGAACGUUUCUUCCAAUGACCUGAGCGGGCUCCAAAGUAAUGAAGACACAUGAAUCGAAAAACGGGAAAUGAACUUGUGAUACAGGAGACAAAAUUUGGGACCAAAUGUGAAUGAAUGGAUAACAUGUGCUCUUGGGUGUUUAUUGUAUGAAUGUACCAGGUUGUGUGACAAAAUGAAUCCUCUUCUACUUCCUCCCCUCCUCCUCCUCCUCCUCCUCCUCCCCCACUUCAUAUGAUGCUAAUCCCCAUCCUCUCUUUGUGUUUACUUUUGAAGCACGAUUUGCAAACUUUUGUCAUGUUGAGUGGUGGCAUCUAAACAGAGUUCUUCAGAAAAAAAAAUGAUUUUCAAUACAUUCACCCCAAUA